GGGGGAGCGGGCAAAAAAGCACACUAGGAUGUCACAGAGGAAAAGCAAACAUCUAGAAAUGCUCCACAAAGGUGCUUGAAAUCUGGGCUAUUUCUCUCUGUAAGGGUGGAUGGUAUGGGAGGCACAAGCUCUGGAGGCAAUGUGUCCUGAAAGGCAGGACUUCUGAUUCAUUCUGAUAACUAGGAUAGAAAAGCUGUGGGCUUGGUAGAAGUAUAUUUUCUACCAGUUACUGCCCUAGAAUAUACCUGUGACAAAGGAAAGAAAAUUAAGAACCUGAAAGAAAGUCUGGUAAAAAUACCCCUUCUUCUUUUAGAGGCAGUCUUACAAGGAACAGUGGGAAGUUUCUGUGCAGAACAGGAUUCUUGGAGAGGAUGCACCACUGCCAGGAUAUGGUGCUCUUCAAUGAAAGGUUGAACAAACUACCACUGCGUAGCCUAACGGAGCAAAAAAGAUGAGGUGUUUGGUUUACUUGCGGGGCAACAGAAGUUACUCUGCAGUUUGCAGUGCGGGUGAGCAGCAAAACAGCUUGUGGAAUUUCUGAACACACCCUGGCUCCUGUGGUUACUUUCGAUUCUCAGGACUGAGGUAACAUCAUCCUCCUAGCCUUUCAUUUCUGUGUUCCUGUUCUUCUGUUGUUGUUUUUAAAUAACAAUUGCUCUGGGUUUGCUAUUUAAAUAACAAAUGCAAGUGUUCUUGCAAAUCUUUGGCUGCCCAAGAGCUUCCGCUGGUAAUCUGCUCUUAAAAGUGUGCCAAGUCAUUCCCUGGGCAAGUUUC
rnacentral:lncRNA from 1 species